rnacentral:rRNA from 1 species
UACGUAGGGGACGAGCGUUGUCCGGAUUCAUUGGGCGUAAAGCGCGCGUAGGCGGCUCGGAAAGUCGGGCGUGAAAUCCCGAGGCUCAACCUCGGGUCUGCAGUCGAUACGAGCAAACUAGAGUGUUGCAGGGGAGACUGGAAUUCCUGGUGUAGCGGUGAAAUGCGCAGAUAUCAGGAGGAACACCGGUGGCGAAGGCGGGUCUCUGGGCAACAACGUGACGCUGAGGAGCGAAAGCGUGGGGAGCGAACAGG